rnacentral:lncRNA from 1 species
GCGGCCGGGGAAAGGCCGGGUCCCGCUCGGACCAUUUUAACUGCGGAUCCGCCGCCGGCGCGCGCACCCGCGACUCUGCUCGGAGCCGCAGGAGCGCGCGGCCCGUUCCGGCAGGGGGCGGAGCCAGUUGCGGUGGCGCGCUCGUGGCGGGGACGCCGGCACCCGGCUGCUCACCCGGGACGGCCGUCACACCGGCACUACGGGAAGAAGCCGGCCGGCUAGGGCACGGAGCUCUGGGCUUGCGGGGUGCGGCGCACGCCCCUCCCUCCCACCGCCUAAGGUUUUUCCGAAGCUGCUGGGCGUGCGCCGCGUUUCUGAGGCGGGAGGAGACACUUCCGAGCCAGCUGUGUGACAUCCGUUUACACAGCCGCGCUGACGUCUCGAGGUGCACAACAAGAUCAAACGCUGACAUCAGGAUAGCAGCGAGAGAGAGGCAUUUAUUUGCACAGUGCCAAGCAAGGAUGAUACGACAGCUAAUGCUUAAAUUCUGACCUCUCCAGUGGCUUGCAGAUUCUUGCAGGUGGCUGGUUCCAGAUGGAGUCCAUGACCAGAAUGAGAACUUCAUGCCUGCUCUUUCCCAAUUGGUUAUUUCUGAAUAAUGCUUUUAAAUCAAUCAAAUGUUGCCUUUUUCAAGGCUACCUACAGCCCACACCUCCCCAGUUCUGAGCCUAUAAAAACCUCACACUCAGCCACAUGGGGAUACUACCUGCCUUUGGGUGGGGACAAUCCACCUUCAGGUUGGGGACUACCCACUUCUGGUCCAUCUCUGCUGAGAGCUAUUCUGUCACUCAAUAAAACUUCUCCACCUUUCUCACUCUCUGGUUGUCUGUGUAACCUCAUUCUCCUUGGAUGUGGGACAAGAACCCAGGA